CAGAACUGGGUUUUACAAUUCUCAGUGAAAAGAUCAAGAGAAGGGCCAGGUGCAUCCUCAGCUGAUAUGGAGCCAAGUUUCUGAUUUUUCCCAAAAAAUUUAAACUGAAAUAAUUGAAGAACUAACUACCAGCCCGAGAGUGUGUGGGAACAUAUCCUUGUCGUAAGCUUUGCUAUUUGCCAUAAUAGUUCAAGUCAGCAAAAUUUUCAGAAAGCUAUUUAAACGGAGUUGGUGUAGGAAGGCAGAGCGUCACAAGAAUGGAUAUGUUGGCCAACGAAUGGCAAAAGCGCGGGGGCAAGUGAUGUGAUGAAAGCUCCAGGAAAACAUCUAAUUGCAGUUGGCAACCCUAGGCAGACAGCUGAAAUGUUUUAACCCCUGAAGGCUGCAAUGGUCAGGAACAAAUAAAUGACAGGUUUUCCCAACAUAUCAAUUCAUGGUGAAGAUGUUAUUAAAGGUGACAGGUCCACCUUCUUAUAUCCAAAAGACUUUGCGUGAUUUAGAAAAUGGCCUAGCGAUUCCUCAGUGGUGAUCCUGAGAUCUGACAGAAUUAAUGUUUUACUUCAGAUAUUACCAGGACUACCAUUGGUGAACACUGCACCAGCAACAUUCUAGGGGGUCCCAUAGAUCAAAAGCCUAACUGGACCAGCCAAAUAAAUGCUGUGGCCAAAAGAACAUAUCAGAGGUGCAACAAGCAACUCAACUGCUGACUCCUCAAAGGCUUUCCACCACCUACAAUCCACUAAAUGUCUUUUACAUUUAGCGAUAGAGAUUACCUUCAGAACAAUACCACCCCUCCACUUGCCUGGAUGAGUGCAGCUCUAACAACACUCAAGAAGAUCAACACCAUCCAGGACAAAGCAGCCCACUUGAUCAGCACCCUAACGCCACCUUAAAUGUUUACACCCUCCACUGGUGUACUGUGGUAGCAGUGUCUACCACAAGUCACAGUGCAGCAAAUUGCCAAGGCUUCUUUGACAAUAGCACAGGCUCCAUCUAGAAGAACAAGGGCAGCAGGCCUAUGGGAACACCACUAUCUGCAAAUUUCUCUCCAAGUCACUCACUUGGGAAAGUAUUGCUGCCGGAUCAAAGUCCUGGAGCAGUGUAGCUAACAGCUUCGUGCGUGCAUCUCCACCACCAGUUCUGCAGCCGUUCAAGGGCAAUUGGGAAUGUGCAAUAAAUGCUGUCUCCAAUAUCAAACUGAAGGAAUAAGACAAUCACGCAAUGCAGAAAUGUAUGGAAUGUCAUAUAGAAGGAGUGAAACAAACUUAGAAAAACUAACAGAUUGCAAUGAAUAUUUGGAUUCAUAAUGGUUUAAAAUAUUGAGUUCAUGUAACAUGUUUGGAUCCACAAUCAAUCUAUGAGAGUAGUUGUAAAUGUGAUCCUUUUACGUGUAUGUUUAAGGAGUAUUACAUGUACUAUAUACUAAUAAACUUGUGACACCUGA